UACGAAGGGGGCUAGCGUUGCUCGGAAUCACUGGGCGUAAAGCGCACGUAGGCGGCUUUUUAAGUCAGGGGUGAAAUCCUGGAGCUCAACUCCAGAACUGCCUUUGAUACUGAGAAGCUUGAGUCCGGGAGAGGUGAGUGGAACUGCGAGUGUAGAGGUGAAAUUCGUAGAUAUUCGCAAGAACACCAGUGGCGAAGGCGGCUCACUGGACAGGUACUGACGCUGAGGUGCGAAAGCGUGGGGAGCAAACAGG
rnacentral:rRNA from 1 species